AUGGCUAGCCGAGCGAAGCAGCUCCACGCGCACUACCUGGUGGCCGGGCUCGGCGACCCUGACAAGUGGACCUGCCUCGUCAAGGAGUACGCCGCCAAUGCCUCCCUCCGGGACGCCGCCCUCGUCUACGCCAAGCACCUGCCCCGGCAGACGCACCACCUGCCCCUCCUCCCCGCCCUCCUCAAGGCCGCCGCCUCCCGCGCCGGCCCCGGCCUCGGCCUCGGCAGGUCCCUCCACGCCGAGGCCCUCAAAUCCGCGUUCGCCGGCGAGCUGCUCGUGGGCACCACGCUGGUGUCCAUGUACUGCAAGUGCGGCCUCCUCGCGGACGCGCGCCGCGUGUUCGACGGAAUGCCCGGCAGGAACGUCGUCACCUGCAACGCGAUGCUCGCCGGGUAUGCCGCGGCGGGCGACACGGGGCAGGCGGAGGCGCUGUUAGGACGCAUGAGUUCCCGAACGUCCGUCACGUGGGCGACGGUGAUCCGUGGGUUCGCCGAGAAGGGGGACAUGGCGGGGGCGCGGAGGUGGUUCGACGCGACGCCCAUGGGCAUGCGGACCGUCGUCGUGUGGACCGUGCUCGUGCACGGCUACGUGGCCGCCGGGGACAUGGAGACCGCGAGGGAGCUGUUCAACGCCAUGCCCGCGAGGAACGUGUUCGUGUGGUCGUCGAUGGUCACGGGGUACUUCAAGGCCGGCGAUGCCGAUGAGGCACGGGCGAUGUUUGACAGGGUCCCGGUGCGGAACCUGGUGAGCUGGAACGCGCUCAUUGCCGGGUACGCGCAAAUCGGGCGCUCCGAGGAGGCGUUGCAUGCCUUUCACUCGAUGUUGGAGGACAGGGUCAAGCCGGACGAGUUCACCAUGGCCAGCGUGCUGUCUGCCUGCGCGCAGCUCGGGUCGCUAAAGGAAGGGAGGAAGGUUCAUGACUUCAUGGACCGGAUGCGUAUACGGAAGAACCACUUCGUUCUGAAUGGCCUGGUUGAUAUGUACGCCAAGUGCGGCGACCUCGAGCACGCCCGCAAGGUGUUCGACAGCAUCCAACGGAGGAAUACUGAAUGCUGGAACUCGAUGAUCUCCGCACUCGCAAGCCAUGGACGGAGCGAAGAGGCGAUACGGCUGUUUUCCCAGAUGGAGUUCUCGGAGCAGAAGCCCAAUGGGGUCACACUCCUCGCCGUGCUUGGAGCUUGUACCCACGGAGGGUUUGUGGAAGAAGGCCUAAGGAUUUUCAACAGUUUCGGCGUGUAUGGAGUUGCUGCCGGAGUGGAGCAUUACGGUUGCCUGGUCGAUCUUCUGGGCCGCGCAGGAAGACUCGAGGAAGCUCAUGCGAUUGUCAAGAGCAUGGCGAUGGAGCCUAACGAGGUCAUCUGGGGCGCUCUUCUCGGAGCUUGCAGAGUGCAUGACAAUGCGGAGAUGUCGGAGCGGGUGUCAGAUGAGAUCAACCAAUUGCGCUCUGAUGGUGCAUCAACUAAUGAUGCAGAGUACAUCAUGCUGUCAAAUAUCUUGGCCGCGUCCGAGAGGUGGGAGCAGGCAGAGCGCGUCAGGAGAAAGAUGGCGAACCAUGGGGUUGAGAAGACUCCCGGGUGCAGUUCAGUUGAGCUUGACAUUCCUGAACACAAAGUGUGUUGCAGAUAG
rnacentral:rRNA from 1 species